AUUAGUGCAAUGAACUUAAGAUUCAUAUAUAAAUAUUUUUAUUUUGUUGAAAA
rnacentral:tRNA from 1 species